AUUCUUCAUGUUCUCAACAAGAUCCCUUUGGAGCGCCGGGAGCGGCUUAAAUAUUCUAACAAAAAAAGAUUUAUGAAGUAAAUUGAUUUCUUUCUAAAAUUGAAGGUAUUAGAAUGAUGAAUAUAUACCUAAUUUUCUGCUGCAGUUUACCAUUAUCGUAUUUUGGGGGUUUUUGUUUUUAAUUUGAUUUUUUAAUUUGUUAGUGAUGAUUUUAGAGAAUUUGGCUUUAGAUAUUAGAAACUAAUGGAUCCUUGAGGGUUUUUUUUCUUGAUGGAAGACAGGAAUAUCAACUGGAUAAUUUGAUUUUGUCUUUGUGUCGAUUUGAAAAUGAAGGUGUUCGCAAGAGGUGAAAAGAAGCUUAAGCUGAAAAUUUGGGAUGUUGGGGAAGAAGCAAUUCUUAUUAACAAAGAGCAAUUUGUUUCUUGGUUUAGGUGCCUCACUGUUGGUGGAAGUUCGGGUACGUAUUCGUCAAUGCUAGAAUAUCAGAUAUGGUACGAUUCGAUACACAUCAACUUCUACCACUACCACUGCGAUACUCAAUGAUUGGCUUAUUGCACUAUGAUCAAUCGUUGUCGAGUCUCCCUUAAAUGUCCAUGCAUUUUUCUUUUAGGCGGUUUUCUACCCAUAAAGAAGAUCUUUUAGGCGUUUUUAUUCUCAUAUUCCUUCUUUGAUUAGGUAAUCAAAAUCAUCAAAAUAGGGAAUAUCAGCCAAACAAAAAUAAGGAAUAUACCUUCUGAAGAGAAUUAAAUCUGGAUUAGCAUGGCUUUCGUAUUGUUGUUGUUGUUGAUCGUUGAAGCAGAACAGGUAGGAUUUGGAAAGAGAUCGACACCACCACCAUCAACAUAAUUCAGUACACUAGCUGCUCAGGGUGCAGGAAAAUCCCAGGUGGAUGUUUAUGAUACCACGGAAGAAAACCCACAUAAAAUGAGAUCCCAGAAAAUAAGCUUGGUUAUUAUCGUUCUUAACAUGCAGAAGCCAGAAAACUAAGUAGGUCUCAGCAUAUAGUUGCAGUUCCAUUACAGGAGUGAGUUUUCCCUUCGUAAUAUUUUAUUGAACUCUCAUGCAUUCAUCCAAAUGAAGUGAAUUAGUGUUCAAUGUGCAAUCAGAAGUGUUUGGUGAAGGAUGUCGUGAAGCUAUAUCUUUCAACCUCUACUUGAUAUCAUGCUUGGCUAUCUAACAAGGUAUAGUAAGAGCAACAUGAAGUACUUUGGGAGGUUUACCAUCUUUGUUCAUCGUUUUGGAAACUUUUAACAUCCUUGCUUUAAGUAUAUCAUUCUAUCAAUAUUCUCAGGCGGUAAUGCAGAUUCAAUGAUGUCAAGUAUAAUUUUGUAUGACUAAAAGCAGCUUCUCUAUGCCCCGACGGGUCUGUAGAGAUUCAAUGUGUUCGUUAUACCUAGACCAUGGAGUAGACUAGAUGAGGUUAGGUUUGUAAAAGGAAAGCCUAUGGUGAUUCUGCCAUUAUAGGGAUCACAGAAUUAUAUUCAAUUGAUUCAAUUCCAUUUUAUGGGAAAUAUGGUGAUUUAGUUGUUGAAAAGAAGAUGUUUGAUACGAUGCCGGAAAAAGAUAUUGUGGCUCUGAUUUAAAUUGUAUAAGUGCGACUGUGUUGUCACUCCAUACACUUAAAUAUAACGUUGUUCUUGAUUCUUCAAUAAUAGCAUUUUUGUUCUUGCU